rnacentral:lncRNA from 1 species
UUUUCCCUGGCACUGUCUUUUCUUAGGUAUUAAACUGUUGCUGUACUUCAGUACUUUGAGGAUUUACAGAGUAGGACUCAGGCUGUUUAGUAGAUUCUUAUAAAAAGGUUUUGAAUUCUAAAGAGGUUAAAUAAAUCUGAAAUAGUAGGUAAGUCAAAAAUCAUGUUGGGCAGACAUUCCUUAAGAGGCAAAAGGCAGAGAGAAGUUCUUCAAGUAUAAAGAAGUCAG